GCAGCUUUAGCUCAGUUGGUAGAGCAACUGACUCUUAAUCAGUGGGUCCAGGGUUCGAGUCCCUGAAGGCG
rnacentral:tRNA from 1 species